rnacentral:tRNA from 1 species
GGUUCUAUAGUGUAGUGGUUAGAGCACGUCUGCUUUACACGUAGAAGGCCCUGGGUUCGCAUCCCAGUGGCGCCA